CAGGACUGGUCGAAGGAAGUCCUGACGUGCUGAGCGGCUCCA
rnacentral:SRP_RNA from 1 species